rnacentral:rRNA from 1 species
AUGCUUAACACAUGCAAGUCGAACGAGAAAGUGGAGCAAUCCAUGAGUAAAGUGGCGCACGGGUGAGUAACACGUGACUAACCUACCCUCGAGUGGGGAAUAACCUAGAGAAAUCUGGGCUAAUACCGCAUAACACUUACGAGUCAAAGCAGCAAUGCGCUUGAGGAGGGGGUCGCGGCCGAUUAGCUAGUUGGCGGGGUAAUGGCCCACCAAGGCGAUGAUCGGUAUCCGGCCUGAGAGGGCGCACGGACACACUGGAACUGAAACACGGUCCAGACUCCUACGGGAGGCAGCAGUGGGGAAUUUUGCGCAAUGGGGGAAACCCUGACGCAGCAACGCCGCGUGGAGGAUGAAAUCCCUUGGGUUGUAAAGCACUUUUAGUGGGGAUGAAAUGUGCAGGGUUAAUACCUCUGCAUUAUGACGGUACCGGAAGAAGAAGCCCCGGCUAACUACGUGCCAGCAGCCGCGGUAAGACGUAGGGGGCAAGCGUUGUUCGGAAUUAUUGGGCGUAAAGCGCUCGUAGGCGGGCUGGUAAGUCCGUGUUGAAAUCUCUGGGCUUAACUCAGAGCCUGCAGGCGAAACUGCCGUGCUGGAGUAUGGGAGAGGUGCGUGGAAUUCCCGGUGUAGCGGUGAAAUGCGUAGAUAUCGGAAGGAACACCAGUGG